rnacentral:misc_RNA from 1 species
GAUGAAGAACGUAGCGAAAUGCGAUAAGUAAUGUGAAUUGCAGAAUUCAGUGAAUCUUCGAAUCUUUGAACGCACAUUGCGCCCCUUGGUAUUCCGAGGGGCAUGCCUGUUCGAGCGUCAUUAUAACCCCUCAAGCUCAGCUUGGUGUUGGGGCCUGCCGCACGGGCAGCCCUUAAAAUCAGUGGCGGUGCCAUCUGGCUCUAAGCGUAGUAAUUCUUCUCGCUAUAGAGUCCCGGUGGAUGCUUGCCAUUAACCCCCAAUUUUCUAUGGUUGACCUCGGAUCAGGUAGGGAUACCCGCUGAACUUAAGCAUAUCAAUAAGCGGAGGA